rnacentral:rRNA from 1 species
UACGUAGGGGGCGAGCGUUGUCCGGAUUUAUUGGGCGUAAAGAGCGUGUAGGCGGCCAGGUAGGUCUGCUGUGAAAACUCGAGGCUCAACCUCGAGACGUCGGCGGAAACCAUCUGGCUAGAGUCCGGAAGAGGAGAGUGGAAUUCCUGGUGUAGCGGUGAAAUGCGCAGAUAUCAGGAAGAACACCCGUGGCGAAGGCGGCUCUCUGGGACGGUACUGACGCUGAGACGCGAAAGCGUGUGGAGCGAACAGG